UACGUAGGGGGCAAGCGUUGUCCGGAAUCAUUGGGCGUAAAGCGCGCGUAGGUGGCCUCGUAAGUCCGCUGUGAAAGUCAAAGGCUCAACCUUUGAAAGCCGGUGGAUACUGUGAGGCUAGAGUACGGAAGAGGCGAGUGGAAUUCCUGGUGUAGCGGUGGAAUGCGCAGAUAUCGGGAGGAACACCGGUGGCGAAGGCGGUUCUCUGGGCCUUACCUGACGCUGAGGAGCGAAAGCGUGGGGAGCGAACAGG
rnacentral:rRNA from 1 species